UCCAGACUCCUACGGGAGGCAGCAGUGGGGGAUAUUGCACAAUGGGGGGAACCCUGAUGCAGCGACGCCGCGUGGGUGAAGGAGCGUUUCGGCGCGUAAAGCCCUCUCGGCAGGGAAGAAGGAGGACGGUACCUGACUAAGAAGCCCCGGCUAACUACGUGCCAGCAGCCGCGGUAAUACGUAGGGGGCAAGCGUUAUCCGGAUUCACUGGGUGUAAAGGGGGCGCAGACGGCAGCGCAAGCCAGGAGUGAAAGCCCGGGGCCCAACCCCGGGACUGCUCUUGGAACUGCGCGGCUGGAGUGCAGGAGGGGCAGGCGGAAUUCCUGGUGUAGCGGUGAAAUGCGUAGAUAUCAGGAGGAACACCGGUGGCGAAGGCGGCCUGCUGGACUGCGACUGACGUUGAGGCCCGAAAGCGUGGGGAGCAAACAGGAUUAGAUACCCCAGUA
rnacentral:rRNA from 1 species